UAGUUCAGUGUUUUUGACGUCCGUGC
rnacentral:sRNA from 1 species